rnacentral:rRNA from 1 species
AUGAACGCUAGCUACAGGCUUAACACAUGCAAGUCGAGGGGCAGCAUUUCAGUUUGCUUGCAAACUGGAGAUGGCGACCGGCGCACGGGUGAGUAACACGUAUCCAACCUGCCGAUAACUCGGGGAUAGCCUUUCGAAAGAAAGAUUAAUACCCGAUGGUAUAAUCAGACCGCAUGGUCUUGUUAUUAAAGAAUUUCGGUUAUCGAUGGGGAUGCGUUCCAUUAGGCAGUUGGUGAGGUAACGGCUCACCAAACCUUCGAUGGAUAGGGGUUCUGAGAGGAAGGUCCCCCACAUUGGAACUGAGACACGGUCCAAACUCCUACGGGAGGCAGCAGUGAGGAAUAUUGGUCAAUGGGCGCAGGCCUGAACCAGCCAAGUAGCGUGAAGGAUGACUGCCCUAUGGGUUGUAAACUUCUUUUAUAUGGGAAUAAAGUUUUCCACGUGUGGAAUUUUGUAUGUACCAUAUGAAUAAGGAUCGGCUAACUCCGUGCCAGCAGCCGCGGUAAUACGGAGGAUCCGAGCGUUAUCCGGAUUUAUUGGGUUUAAAGGGAGCGUAGGUGGACAGUUAAGUCAGUUGUGAAAGUUUGCGGCUCAACCGUAAAAUUGCAGUUGAUACUGGCUGUCUUGAGUACAGUAGAGGUGGGCGGAAUUCGUGGUGUAGCGGUGAAAUGCUUAGAUAUCACGAAGAACUCCGAUUGCGAAGGCAGCUCACUGGACUGCAACUGACACUGAUGCUCGAAAGUGUGGGUAUCAAACAGGAUUAGAUACCCUGGUAGUCCACACAGUAAACGAUGAAUACUCGCUGUUUGCGAUAUACAGUAAGCGGCCAAGCGAAAGCAUUAAGUAUUCCACCUGGGGAGUACGCCGGCAACGGUGAAACUCAAAGGAAUUGACGGGGGCCCGCACAAGCGGAGGAACAUGUGGUUUAAUUCGAUGAUACGCGAGGAACCUUACCCGGGCUUAAAUUGCAUUUGAAUAUAUUGGAAACAGUAUAGCCGUAAGGCAAAUGUGAAGGUGCUGCAUGGUUGUCGUCAGCUCGUGCCGUGAGGUGUCGGCUUAAGUGCCAUAACGAGCGCAACCCUUAUCUUUAGUUACUAACAGGUCAUGCUGAGGACUCUAGAGAGACUGCCAUCGUAAGAUGUGAGGAAGGUGGGGAUGACGUCAAAUCAGCACGGCCCUUACGUCCGGGGCUACACACGUGUUACAAUGGGGGGUACAGAAGGCAGCUACCUGGUGACAGGAUGCUAAUCCCAAAAGCCUCUCUCAGUUCGGAUCGAAGUCUGCAACCCGACUUCGUGAAGCUGGAUUCGCUAGUAAUCGCGCAUCAGCCAUGGCGCGGUGAAUACGUUCCCGGGCCUUGUACACACCGCCCGUCAAGCCAUGAAAGCCGGGGGUACCUGAAGUACGUAACCGCAAGGAGCGUCCUAGGGUAAAACUGGUAAUUGGGGCU